rnacentral:misc_RNA from 1 species
GAGAUUUGUUCUGGAUUUAUUCAGAAAUCUCCCACCCUUUGUGUUUUUAAAUGAAUCAAUUACUUUGGUGAAGCGUUUGGGACGGUUUACAUAUUUGCGUAUGUACUGGACCAGCCAUCGGCUUGCAAGAGCGGGUGUGUUCUUUGCCAAAGGACCUCAACUCUUUUAUUAUUAAUUGUCUGAGUUUAUAUUUUAAAUAAACAAAACUUUCAACAACGGAUCUCUUGGUUCU